rnacentral:lncRNA from 1 species
CACACAACAAUUCCUUUAUCUGUGUACAUUUUCACCCUCUCAGUUCCCACACACUCUUUCACACCAACAAAAUUUGGAUGUUUAGCCAAUAUUUCAAUUACACUAGGAGGAAUAUCUUGACCACUCCUUGAAGGUACAUUGUAUAUGAUGAUAGGGCCUAUAGGAAGCAAACUAUUAUAAUGAGCAACCAAACCUGCAUUUGAGGUUUUUCCAUAGUAAGGGUUUAUAUGAAGUGCAGCAUCCAUUCCAACAGCGAAGCCUCGCUCAGUUGCGUUUAUCGCUUCUUUUGUGCAGUUGCUUCCUGCAUUACCAAUAACUUUAACUUUGUCGCCGAAACAAUUAACUGUGUGAGCAAUGAGCAUUAUUUGUUCAUCCCAUGUCAUUAAUUGGCCUUCCCCAGUUGAACCAGCAACAAGAAUACCUUCAACACCAUUUGCAAUCUGUAUGUUCACCAAGUUAUCAUAUGCUUCAAGAUCUAUUUUUCCACUAGGUAUGUACGGAGUCUUAACGGCGGUGAUGAAUUGCAGACUUCGUACGUCCUCAACCGAUUUCCUGUAAAUACAGUACACAUAAAACUUAUUCCCAUUACCACAAAAGCAUAAAAAAAUAAUUAACAUAACAUGAAAUGUUAUGAUGUUCGAAAACAUUAUUGUAUAAAUUUGGUUUACAAGUUUUGAUUUGUUAACAAAAACCAGUCCUGCAAAUGGAUCUAUCAAAUUUAAUAGGAGAAAGAAUUCAUUCAAAUUGAGUAAAACAUAUAUCGUUCAAAUCAAACCAAUCUUUUACCGCCGUUGAGCUGCUCAACUGGACGCGAACAUCAAGUCUCGCAGCUGUUUGUUGAACCUUACAAUAUGUGUUCCAGGAUAAAGAAAUAUCGACAUCAUUAAACUAAGCAAAAUUUUGAUUAAUAGCUAAAACUACAAGAUUUGGUAUCUUUCUUAUUCAGUUAGCACCAAUUUACUUGUCUUAGACUUCUGAAGUGACCCCCCAGUUAUUCUAAACUUAACAAACCUAUUUAUGAUCCUUGAGUUUUACACAACAUACGGCUAGAAUGUAAACAUGUUGAGUGAGGAGAGUAAAGUCACAAAUCUCACGUAUUUAAGCAGUCAACAUGUUGAUCGUCGUUGGAUUAAGAUCAGAUGGUUUAGAUUUCAAGCUCUAUAAUUUAGAGUAAUAAAAAACCUAAAUCUACUUGUUUUCUGUAUUGUUUUGAUCUCGAUCGAUCAACCAUUGACGAGUUGUCUGCAUAAAUAUGUGACUGCAGCAAAUUCAAAUUCGUCUUAUAUCGAUUCAUAUUAACCCGUGCCCCAAGAAAACAAGUUAAGGAAUGACACAUUUUAAACAGUAAGAGUUGAAUGCACUAUACUAACAUUUUCGGAUUUUCCUUAUAUUUAGUUCAGUAACUACCUUACGACAUAUGUUAACAUUUUCUAAGAUAAGUCAUCUAAAACAAAAAUAGUAAAAUAUUAAUGAUCUACAAGGUUAACAAAAUUAAAUGAAAAUCAUGAGAACAAAAUAUCAUUUAUGAUAAGAAUGGAACAAAAGAAAAUCAACCAAACAAAGUAAACUGUAGACUAAAUAAACAAAGAGAUUAUGAAAAAUGUUAACCUGCUUUUGAAAGGUAAAACCGGUGAAUUGGGUCCUCUCAUACUAGAAUCAGUUUUCAACAUGUUCAUCAGUGAAAAUGGUUAAGAACUAUAGUUACUUAAUCAAUCAAUGACAAGAAACCAACAAUUGAAGCACUUUAAAAAGAGUUUGGUUCAAAUGAAUUUUGGGGAGAAGGAAAGGUCAAAGUAAUAGUAAAAAGAGACAGCAUACAAAGAAAGAAUGACCACUCACCAGAUGCGACCUGAACGAAUGAAUAAGAAAGAAUAAUAGAGUUGACACUUUAGCCGCCUUAUAAAAAUGAAAUGCGUUUUUGAUUGAUAUAAAUAUAUAUUGUUCGGUCGAGUGAGGAUAGCUCAUGUGAUAUAAUUGUAUUAUUAUAUAUAAGGUUGAGGUUUAAAGUUCAAACUCCGGAUAUUUUACUCUUUCACUUUAAAAAGUGAAUUUUAAUCACCAGAUUAUUUGACCAAAUAUAUAUAUAUAUACUCCAUGUCAUCACCAACAACCUCCAAAAUGGCGUCGCACUUGACCGUCAAGUGUUCUCUGUGCCUAUAUAAGGGUGACUUAGUGUCGCCAUUUUUCCACAUAACCAUCUCUUUCAAUACUGACUUGUGCGUUGAAAUCAACAACGAUGAUUCAACAUCCUCCACAUUAGAUCACUGUGAACAAAUGUUCGAUUUCCUUAAUCGUCACCAGAAUGAUCAAUUGGCGCUAGAAGGAGGGGAUCAUUCACUGAUUCCAUGCGAUUCAAACGAUUCACCACCGUAACCGUUUUCACACUUACACGUUCUUCAGCCGUAAUCGUUUUUGGUUACAUGUUCCUCCACCGUAAGAGUCAACAGACACUUCUUUGUACAGGAAAUUAAGGCUGAAACUCGAAAGAGAAACACCGAAAGCAAGACGUCCACCGUCGCAAGAGUUCGUUCAGCUAUCCAGACUUUGCAAGAUCAUUUGAUUCCAGUUCACACACCGGUAGGACAAGAUGAGAACGCACUGAAGCCUCUCCAACGAUCGCGGACAAUGUGAUUCCUUUAGCAACGAUGCCUCCUCCGACAAGACCACCACCAUCCGCUCCAAACGGAAAUCGCAAUCAGACGACGGAGAAGAAUCUUCUGCCACCACCUCUAGAUGUGAACACACUCUUGACGAACCUCUCAUCCAACAACAUAACGACAUAUUUAGGCUUGUGGAAGAGAAUCAGGAGAAGAUCCCAACAAAUAUCACUACACAGCUUGAAGUGGUGCAACGCAACCAGCAAAACUCCACUCUGUUGGUGGUAAAUGACGCAGUCUCCGUCCCAACGAAGCCACAAAGGAAGAAGAACAAGGCUCUGGAGGAUCCUGACGAAGGAAGCAGUAGUCGUUUUCUUCGUUGUUGCGGAAGCAGCAUGGACUCCCCACCUCAUCGUCAUGGCGGCAGAAGGCGAGGGGAAUAUUCCCUUCGAGAAACCUCCAAAGCUUGGAGGCUACGAUGGAACAACUGAUCCUAACGAACACAUAGAACACAUUGAUAUCGUCCUCGAUUACCACUAGGCAAAAUGAGCAGUGAAGUGCAAGCUCUUCGUUUUGACCUUGAAGGGGGCGACAAUGACCUGGUUCAAAGGACUUGAAGACAACUGCAUUGACACUUGGAGAGAAUUAUGUGAAAAAUUUACUUCCCAUUUAACUACAAGAAGGAAACAACCAAAAAAUGAUGGCGGCACUAAACGCCAUCAUCCAAGGGAAAAAGGAAAUCCUUAGAGAAUACUUGGAAAGAUUCAUCCGCGAAGGGGUGGAAGUUUAUGGCGUACGAUAACUUGAAAUGCUUUAUCUUCAAAAACAAUCUAUGCGGUGACUGCAAGUACAAGGAGGAAUUGGGCUUGAGGGGGGUAAGAGAUAAUACAAGUGUUAUAAAUUUAUCAAAAAAUCUCAUUCAACAUUCAAGAUCAAAGCAUAUUGAAAUUAUACACCAUUUUAUUAGAGAUUGUGCGAAUAAAAAGAAAAUUGAAUUAAUUUUGUUGACAAUAAAAAUAAAUUAGCUAAUAUUUUUACAAAUCCUCUUGUAGAAGAUCGUUUUAAUUUUAUGAAAGAAAAAUUAAAUAUCAUUCAAAAUCCUUGUAAAAAAUAGAAAGGCCAUUCUCAAAACUUAUCACAUUCAUGUGUAUGAAAUUACACUUGGGGCUCACACUCACGAUCUCUGAACUUCCAUCUUAAGAAGAAAAAUAAAAUCAUGAAGAUUUUUCAAAAAAGGCUUUAGCUCCUCCAAACACACUUUUUGGCAAGAAAACCAUCAUUACUGGCCCACUAAACUACCUCUCAUCCCUAACACUGCUCUCAAUCAAAUCACCUCCCUCCCUCCCUCCCCCUCUCUUUCUCAAACUAUUGUGGAAAAUCUCACACGAAGUGUCGAGACUGAAAGUAAUAUGUUUUAGGUGAAUCAGGAUAAUUCUCUUGUGUCAUUCUUAUUAUUGGUUUAAACAUUAAACACACAGUAUCACAAUCAUAAUCCUUAUUAAUAAACUAUCCAGAAUGUUCGGGUCCUUAAUUAAAUAUAACUGGUUUAUAUUUAUCCAGAGUUCUCUAGUUAUUAAUUAACCAUUGAUAUUGUUUUAUCAUUCAGCUUAAUAAUUUACCAUAUAAUUGUUAUCAAGAGUUUUAAAUAGAACUUUAUUAGAGAAUUGAGUCAUCAUUAGAUAUUAAUUUAGUAUGAUAGAGGAAAUAUAACUCAUGAACUUAAAAAGGGAUGGAACAUGAGAAGUUUUUAAGAGAGUAAGAGGCUUUUCUAGAAGAAGAGGUCAAUUUAGAUAUACAAAGGGUAUUUCUUUAAGGUACAAUUCUAACUAAAGAAGAGAUCAAUUUUAUUUAUAUAUAGAAUAUAGAUUUCCAUGUUUAUGACCUUAUCAUUUCAUUAAGUACAAUUCUAACUAAAGAAGAGGUCAAUUUUAUUUAUAUAUGGAGUAUAGAUUUGCAUGUUUAUGACCUUAGCAUUUCUUUAAGUACAAUUCUAACUAAAGAAGAGGUCAAUUUUAUUUAUAUAUAGAGUAUAGAUUUGCAUGUUUAUGACCUUAGCAUUUCUUUAAGUAGAAUUCUAACUAAAGAAGAGGUCAAUUUUAUUUACACAUAGAAUAUAGAUUUGCAUAUUUACAGGAUCAUGAUUGUGCACUACAUGUAUUUAAGCAUACAUGGUCUAUGGAAUAAGAACAACGUUCAAUUUCAUUUUCUAUCUGUAAGCAUCAUCAUAGAUAUAUGACCAUAACCACCCUUUUUUCAUAUCACAAAUAAAACCACAACUACCCUUUGUUUUCUUUUUUCUCCAAAAAAAUAACCUGAAAUGUCUCUUCCAACCAUAGUAGUUUCGAACAUCACACGACCUUAUGCAAAAUUCUCUCCAAGCGUUUGGGGGGAUAGGUUCAUUCAGUAUGCUGACUCAGAAUUAACAGUACAUCUUUAUGCAAUGUUACAUUCAUUUUUUUGUUUUCUAAAAUCUCUCUAAAUGGUUUAAGGAGACAUCAACUAAGAUCUUUGUGUCAAUUAUCCAAUAGAAGUUAGGAAGGAAAGAUGGUUAAGUUAUUUUGGUUGUAUUCAACAUUUAGUUUUCUACUUUUCUUUUGGCAUUAUUUCCGAGGCUAUUUUGGUUGUAUUCAACACUUACUUAGAAAUUAUGUUCUAGAAUUAUACCCUCGGAAAUAAUGGCAAAAAAAAAGUAGAAAACUAAAUGUUGAAUACAACCAAAAUAACUUAACCAUCUUUCCUUCCUAACUUCUAUUGGAUAAUUGACACAAAGAUCUUAGUUGAUGUCUCCUUAAACUAUUUAUAGAGAUUUUAGAAAACAAAAAAAUGAAUGUAACAUUCCAUAAGGUUGUACCGUUAAUUCUGAGUCAACAUACUGAAUGAACCUAUCCCCCCAAACGCUUGGAGAGAAUUUUGCAUAAGGUCGUGUGAUGUUCGAAACUACUAUGGUUGGAAGAGACAUUUCAGGUUGUUUUUUUGGAGAAAAAAGAAAACAAAGGGUAGUUGUGGUUUUAUUUGUGAUAUGAAAAAAAGGGUGGUUAUGGUCAUACAUCGAUGAUGAUGCUUACAGAUAGAAAAUGAAAUUGAACGAUGUUCAAAUUCCACAUACCAUGUAUGCUUAAAUACAUGUAGUGUACAAUCAUGAUCCUGUAAACAUGCAAAUCUAUAUUCUAUGUAUAAAUAAAAGGCUUAAAUAUGUAUUUCAUCCUUGCAAUUAGGGAUCGUUUAAAAAUUGGUUCAUGUAAUCGCUAAUCCUGACAAUUUACCCUUGCAUUGUUUAAUCAUUUAAAAUUUCGUCUCUCUCCCCACUUAAUCACUGCCACGUCACUAAUUUAAUGACGUGGCAAUCACUGUCACACAUGAAAUUCCAAUUUACCCCGGGGUUUCCAAUUCUUUCUUCAAUAUUUUGUCCUCUUCUUAAGGGCAAAAUUGGAAUUUCAUGUGUGGCAGUGAUUGCCACGUCAUCAAAUUAGUGACGUGGCAGUGAUUAACUUGGUCAAAUGACGAAAUUUUAAAUGAUUAAUGAUUGCAAGGCUAGUUUGCAAGGAUUAGCGAAUACAUGAACCAAUUUUUAAACGACCCCUAAUUGCAAGGAUGAAAUAUAUAUUUAAGCCUAAAUAAAAUUUACCUCUUUAGUUAGAAUAGUACUUAAAGAAAUGACCUUUGUAGAUCUAAAUUGACCUCUUCUUCUAGAAAAGCCUCUUACUUUAACUUAAAAACUUCUCAUGUUCCAUCUCUAAGUUCAUGAGUUAUAUCUCCUCUAUCAUACCAAAUUAAUAUCUAAUGAUGACUCAAUUCUCUAAUAAACUUCUAUUUAAUACUAAGACACUCUAAUACUAUUUGUCUAAUCUUUUUUUUUUUUGACAAAUUAUUUGUCUAAUCUUUACCAAGAGUUUUCUUAGUAUAUUUACCUCUUAAACUUUCAGAAUCAUUGAAGCCAAUGUUUUAAGAACCGAACUGUUCAACCUUCAAUCGACCUUUACUAUGCUUCGGUUAUUUUUGGGUUCAAUUUCGUCUCGCUUCAAGCAUUUUUAAGCAGUCAAACCAUGACCUAGAGGUCUCGUUGGUUCGAUAUCCUAAUCGGUUUUUAAACAAUGGUUGAAGCUCAAAGCGAACCUCAUACUUGUAGGCUAUGUUUGCCUAUUAUGAUUACAUUCUAUAUAACCAUAUUUCAGCCAUUUCCAUCAAUGUCAUAUUGUGCAUUUUGUUUACUUAAAUGCCUCAUCUAGAAUUCUUGUGUAACAUGCACUUGCACACUCACUAAACAUCUGAGAAAAGAAUAAAUAAUAUACUUUUUUGUUGUGCAGACUCCAACAGGGGCAGGGGAUCGACCACUUGCAGAGAUUAGGCUCAAUCGUGUAACUAUGCAUUCUAAUCCACUUGCUGGUUAGACUGGUCUCUAUGGUUGUUUAUGUAUAUUUGAAUUUUCUAUUUCCCGAAACAAUAGAUCUAACUUCUAAGUAGACGUCAAAGAGAAUUCUUACAUGCUGAAUCAAGUACUUGGUCAUAGUAAUUUACUAUAUUAAUAAUCGUUUGAUGCACAUUACAAUGUCCUCAUUGUGCGAUAUUGUUUCGGGUAAUACAACAAUAACUUUAACAAGAAGACGAUGAAUAUGAUGAUGAUCGCACAAAUGAAUUACAAAGCGUAUGAUUGAUAACUGCAAAUCUCUUUCAGGAUACUUUGGAUCUUUUAAGUGAAUCACACACUCAUUACAAGUAUAUCGAUCAAUGAUGUUUUACAUAAUAAAAUUCUUUCAAUUACUCUCUUCUACUAGAGAAAUUUAGAAAUAAUUUAGGUAAAAUUUUAGAUCAUAGAAGUGUGAUUUUCUUGUAUAUUUUUGCCUGUAAAGUGUUUCUAGUUAUGGAGAAAAUCACUCCGUUUAGUGAAUGAAAACAACUCCUCAAAAUGUUUCAGCAAAUUUGAAUGGUUAAAACUGUCAUGUUAAGCAUAUCAGAAAUAGAAUCUGUAAAAGUCGUACCAACUACCAAGGAAUGAAAACUAUCAUCUUCCUAGGUUAAGUUCUUCCCUCUAUAGUUGUAUCAGUGUGUGUUUGUGUCUGUAGUUUACUUUUCCAAAUAUGUAAAAACAAUAUUUUCACACAAAAUGUAUUAGCAGAUCUAUUCCAAAACUGAGUGAUAUUGUGUACAUGAUCCGGUUUAUUUUUACUUCAACAACUAAACUAAGUAACACUGACACUUCAGAUUGAAAGCGCAUCUGGUGUCUGUGUCAACUUUCACAAUAUAACAUACAAUACACAGAGUAACUUAAAACAUUCAUGAGCAUGGCAAUCUAAACUAAUAUCGACCAACUAUGAUAAAAUCAUCAUCCUCAAGAACUUGAACAUCUUUUUCUCCAACGAAAUGUUGCCUGCCCAUUUCCUUCACCAAAUUCACAAACCCUACCCUUUGUUCCAAAGUAAGAGGUACAUAUGGAAGCCUGAAAACAGGCUUGAUAACCCCAAGUUGAGCAAGAGCAGUGUUCAAAGCAAUUGGGCUUGGCUCUAUAAAAAGCCAAUCAAACAAAGUCAUAAGCUUUGAAUUCAAUGUAGGAUUCUUACCCCCAAACAUGAGUUCCCUUAUUAAGCCAGGAACCAAAUUGCUUGCAACAGAUUGAACUCCAACAGCCCCACAAUCCCAUCUAGCUAAAUGGCUUAAAAUAUCAAAACACCACACAACAAUUCCUUUAUCUGUGUACAUUUUCACCCUCUCAUUUCCAACACACUCUUUCACACCGACAAAAUUUGGAUUUUGAGCCAAUAUUUCAAUUACACUAGGAGGAAUAUCUUGACCACUCCUUGAAGGUACAUUGUAUAUUAUGAUAGGGCCUACAGGAAGCAAACUAUUAUAAUGAGCAACCAAACCUGCAUUUGAGGUUUUUCCAUAGUAAGGGUUUAUAUGAAGUGCUGCAUCCAUUCCAACAGCAAAACCUUGCUCGGUUGCGUUUAUCGCU